GAUGAACGCUGGCGGCGUGCCUAAUACAUGCAAGUCGAGCGAACAGACGAGGAGCUUGCUCCUCUGACGUUAGCUGCGGACGGGUGAGUAACACGUGGAUAACCUACCUAUAAUACUGGGAUAACUUCGGGAAACCGGAGCUAAUACCGGAUAAUAUAUUAAACCGCAUGGUUCAGUAGUUAAAUACGGUUUUGCUGUCACUUAUAGAUGGAUCCGCGCCGCAUUAGCUAGUUGUUAAGGUAACGGCUUACCAAGGCAACGAUGCGUAGCCGACCUGAGAGGUUGAUAGGCCACACUGGAAAUGAGAGACGGUCCAGGCUCCUACGCAAGGUACCAGAAUGGAAUUAACGCCACCAGGCGAAAGCCUCAGACAACAACGCAGCGUGCGCGACCAAGGCACUAGAUUCGUCAAUCUCUGUUACUAGAGAAGAACAAUUGUGUACGUAAAUCUGUACGUCUUGAAAGUCCCUAACCAGAACGGAAAGGCUCACCACAUG
rnacentral:rRNA from 1 species